rnacentral:snRNA from 8 species
AGCUUUGUGCAGUGGGAGUAUUGUACCAAUGAAGUUUAUCCAAGGUGUGAUUAUUGCUAAUUAAAAAGUUGAUCAGUGUUGUGAUCCUAAUAGAUUAAAAAAAUCACCUAACUUGGAAAACAGAGGUUUAAACAUGCAAUGUAUAUGGAACUGU